rnacentral:rRNA from 1 species
UACGGAGGGGGCUAGCGUUAUUCGGAAUUAUUGGGCGUAAAGGGCGCGUAGGCGGCCUUCUAAGUCGAACGUGAAAUCCCCGGGCUCAACCCGGGAACUGCGUCUGAUACUGGAAGGCUUGAAUCCGGGAGAGGGAUGUGGAAUUCCAGGUGUAGCGGUGAAAUGCGUAGAUAUCUGGAGGAACACCGGUGGCGAAGGCGGCUUUCUGGGUCUUACCUGACGCUGAGGAACGAAAGCUAGGGGAGCGAACGGG